GUCCAUUACGACCUCUACACGUUGUUCUUUUAAUUCUAGAAGUUGGUUAUUAAUCCGCUAAACAAAAGGAACACGAGACUGGGAAGUAGACGUGCUGACCGGUACUGAGCAAGAUAGACGCCAUUUUGAAAGAAGCUGAGUUGAGUUAGAUGUGUACGUUGUGUGAGUUAUUUAGACUUUUAUCACGAGCUACGAUGGAUGCUUUAGAGGUCGCCUUCAACGCCUUCAACCGUCUUCCAGUUGAAGAUCAAAUAGAUGGCCUUUCGGCCUGGAUAAGUGACUUGAAAGACAAGAGGAGAUUUUUUUAGAAGAGGCAGGAAGAAAGAUUUAAGGGUGCAGGCCAUUUUAACCUGUACACUGAAGGAAGCAAAAUCCCUUUUGAGAAUGAAAGUGCGAGAGCUUUUCGAAUAGGAAUCGCCCGGUUUGAAAUGGCAUGUCUGCAUAUCGUUGACGUUUGGGCCGAGGUGGCAAGCCAUGAUAAGAGUGAACCGAGGGAGAAGUCAGCGUUGUAACCUUUUAAUCUACAGUACUUACACUAUAGAUAAUUCGGCAUGGUAGCCUGUGCAUUUAAGAAAUACAGUUUUUUUUUCAAGCAAGGGUAACAGCAUGACUUUUCAGACAGUAUUUCAUCAUACCAAGUUUUAGUUGUUGGACAUUGUUAUCUCAAAGUCAGUUCCUGGUAUGCAGUCACACAUGUGUAUUGAUGAGUUUCCUUAGUUGGAUUUCUGAUGUCAGUUCCUUAUAGUGUCACAUGCAACACUAUGUUGUAUAAAAUUUAUUAAAAGUUACUCACUUAAAAAUUUUAAAGAUCCAUCACUACAUGUUUUCAACCAAUAUGGUCUGGCAUUAAUAAUAUUGGUCAAGGAAACUGCUGUCUUAUAUGGUUGCUUUGUUGUUAUUGUAUAAGUCCUCUCCGUUUGCAUAUGUGUAUAUAAUGUGUACAUUUAUCUAUCAGAGUUUUUGUGUGUGAAGUUUUUAUGUGUUGGGUAUUACAAUUUUAAUUUAGUGUUCAGUGCCGUGCUUAUUCUCAAUGGAUCUGUGUAAAGUUCAUUAUUGUUUGUUUUAAUUAAUUUUCUCCUUAGUAGAGUGAAGCUGGUAUUUGCAAUACUUGCCUUGAACAAGGUUUGCUGGUUGUGGGCAGAGUAGUUUCUUUUUUCAUUUCAUGCAGAUAUUGGCUUCCUAGUGGAUACAGGUGUUCAGCCCCUUGAACCUGAACAGUGCGUUUGUAUGGAAGUUCCCUUGCAGCCUUGAUUGGAUUGUAGAAUUGCUGCUGGUAACAGGAAGUGGAAUAGUGGAAGGGAUUAGCAGCAGAGUUUGCUGUUAGUAGCAUCACUUCUUUGGUAACAAGUUUUCUUGCGUAAGUUUGUAAGGUUAUGUCUUUCAUGUGCAUAGCAUAGGAAGCCUUUAAUAUGUUCCCAGACAGUGGAAUGGCAUGCCAAUACAUGAAACUAAAGGUAGAAAUUUUUCAAGUGGUGCUUGUAAUGGCUCUUUGGGAAUGAACCAGAUAGUAAAACAUUUGUGUAUAAUGCAGUCCAUCAAUGAUACAAGAAAUUUUCCCCUUUUCUUCCACUUAAACUUUUAACACAACAUGUUUCGGCCCUAGAUGGCCAUCUUCAGGUGUCUUAAUAUAUUAAAACUGCUACACUGCA